AUUAUAAAUACUAACCGUCGUCCUCAAAAUCUCAGCCCUUAAAACUCCACGUUCUUUCAAUCUCGUCCGCAUAAACUCGAUUUUGGCGGUUUCUUGCAGUUCAUCUUCCUGGUUCUUCUCCCGCACGAUUCCGUCUCUACCCACGAUUCCGUCCCUACCCACGAUUGCGUCCAUGCCUCUAUUUCGGUAACUGUUGAAUCAGUUCAUCGUCAUCCGCCUAUAUAAUGAUGGUUCGAUGUUAGUUCGUUGUUUUUUGCUCAAGCGAAUGAGACUCCGGCGAGGGUGAUGAGGCUCUCUGAUAGCAACUCCUCUUGCCAUUUGAUCCUCUGAUCAAGUAUGAGCCGAUGAUUUCGACGCCGAUUCACCACCAACUACUCUCUCUCUCUCUCUCUCUCUCUCUCUCUCUCUCUCUCUCUCUUUGAAGGCAUUCACGUAAUUUUGUUGUUGUUGAUGUUGAUUUGUACUUCAGAUGGACGAGGCGAUGAUGAUGAAAUGUAGCCUGAGCAAAAUUGGAGUUUGGAGAGCUGAUCUGUAUCUUGGCUGGGCAAUCCGUCCGGAAGGCAUUUUUUUGUCUUCAGAGUUUUCUCUCUCUAAAUUGACAUGCAUUGCAACUGCGAUUGCAGCCAUGACGGAUGUUACAUGUAAUGGAGGCACUUUUGUAUAUGCUAUAAAGGCCAGAAGCUCUCCCAAUCAAUGUCUAAGGUCUUCUUGAUUACAGGUGAUAUGAAUAACAUAGCUAGAGUAUGAAAUCCAAUUGUGGACCAUUGGCAGACAAUUUGAAGUUCUUCACAUGUUUGUCAAGAGGUCUACCAUCACAGGCAACUCCAGCAACCCUAUUUAAGGUUUACGUGUUUGGCAUGUCUUCCUCAUCAGAGUUUCAUAUUUAUAGCUUCUCACCAAAGAAAUCCAAGGAGAAAAAAUGUGAAGAGUAAGUGAUAAUCAAAAAGAGGGAAUUUUUAAUGAAGUUGAAAGAAAAAACUUCUUAUUGGGAGACAUGCAUGAUGUAAUACAAAGUAUAAAACUUAAGGUGGAUGAUGAAACAGAUUGUCUUAGCUUUGACCUUAGUCCAUCAGAUGACAUCAAUAUUGCUGUGAGGUGCAAGGAAAAACCCAUCUGAUGAUCUUCCUGGACAAUGUACCCUCAUCAUGGCAUGAACAAGUUUUUCCCCUGGUUUGUCAUCUUAUUUCUGAUUCACUCUUCAUUUUUCUUUUUGGUUGGGACCUUCAAACCAAUUAGAAAGAAGGAAAGUGAAAAAAAAACACAAGCCAUGGCUAAUUUGUAAGCUAAUCAUUGAUUAAUAUUCUUAUGAAUUUAUAAAAAAGAACUAAAAAAAAUCCCGUGGGCCCAAACCGGGGCCAAGUACUUCAUGAAAUCUACCGAAAGUCCGAAACUAUCUAACGAGUUUUUAUUUUACUUAAAAACUAGAAAUAUAUUGAAGAACAUAUCUUUGGUGCAAGAUAAGAUUUUUAUCCUACUUUUUGUUUUUAUUUUGGGUUUUUCUUUAUGCUCCAAAGAAUAAAUCUACAUUUGUCAAAUUAGAUUUUAUUUUUGCUGGUUACAAUACUAUAAAAAGCUAAAAAUCAUUAAGUUCUUUUAGUUUUUUUUGUUAUUUUUUUUAUAAAUUAAAGAUCUUUUUUAUACCUACGUUUUAAUCUGCAACAAAAGAAUCUUUGAUUUACCUAAGUAAAAGUUAAUUGAUGUUAAUUUAAUUUUAGCCAAAGGGUAGUUUGGGCAUGAUUUUUUUCUUGGUUGCACGUCUUUUAAAGAGUAACAAUUUUCUUCUAUCUUAUCGAAUAAAAUAUUUGGGUUAAAUGCAAGAAAUAAUAUUGUAUUUUGAUUGCCUGUUUGAUUAUAGCAUCUUACUUUAGUUCUUAAUACGACACUGUACUUUUAUUUUGAAAAAAUCUACUUAUUUAUAAUAAUGUCAAUCUAAAUAUAAACAACUUUUUCACUGGUAUAUUAAGAAAAAAAUUGAAAGUUAAAUGUUAUAACUGGGUAGAUUUAUCAAGAUAAAUUGCAAGUUUCUAUUUUUCUUUUUUAAGUAUGUAUUCAUAAAGUGGCUGAACGAGUAAUGAUAUAUGUCCGGAAAAAUUUUGUAUACAUACAUUUUUACUAGAUAACUGUCCAAAUUAAGUAAAUGACCAUCUUACCCUUUUAAUUUGAUGUCGGUUUUGAAAUGGCUAUCAAAUUGAGAAUGCAAAAUGACAAUAUAUGUAGUGCUUAUAAUCUCAAAUAGAGAACCAGUUUGGUUCUACAAGUAAGGUUGUUUAUGGUUUUAGACCGGGCCCAACAAACGAAGAACUAGGAAUCAAUUUAGUGGAAAAUAGAGAACCAGACCGAAUACCUCGGUUCGGUUUCCGGUUUUUUUUUUUGGUUCCACAGAGUCAAAUGUUCAUCCCUACUGCCAAUCACCUGAUGAUUUCUUUUUCUAAUCUAAUUAUGUUGUAUUAUUGAAUUUAGGUAAUGUGCGUUUAACAUUAAAAGAGUGAAAAUAAAGAAAGACACUUUAAAAGUGGUGUGUGGGGAAUUUUUUUUAUCGUAUUUGUUUACGGUAAUUUACAAUGUACACUACCAAAAUUUCCAGAAAUAACAAUGUACUUUACCAAAGUUCUCGAUUACAACAAUGUAUUUUGCAACAAUAA